rnacentral:rRNA from 1 species
UAUGUGAUCGUCUCUCGCAUAUCAAUAAGCGGAGGAAAAGAAACUAACAAGGAUUCCCCUAGUAACGGCGAGUGAAGCGGGAAGAGCUCAGAUUUGAAAUCUUAAAGGGUUUCCCUUUACGAAUUGUAGUUUAAAGAAGUGUUUUCUGUUGAGGUUUUGGUAAAAGUUCUUUGGAAUAGGACAUCAUAGAGGGUGAGAAUCCCGUAUUUGACCUUUACUUUCAACUUUGUGAUACACUUUCAAAGAGUCGGAUUGUUUGGGAAUGCAGUCCAAAAUGGGUGGUAAAUUUCAUCUAAAGCUAAAUAUUGGCGAGAGACCGAUAGCGAACAAGUACCGUGAGGGAAAGAUGAAAAGAACUUUGAAAAGAGAGUUAAACAGUACGUGAAAUUGUCAAAAGGGAAGCGUUUGACACCAGUGUUGUUUUUCUGAAAAUCAAUUAAAGAACUGUUUAUGCUAAGCUGUUUAGACUUUAUCAGCUAUCUGUUUAGUUUUGAGCUUUUCUUUAAUGCACUUUUCAGUUAACAAGUCAACAUCAAUUUCUUUUGCUGUAAAAAAGCUUGAGGAAGGUGGCUUGAGAUUCGUCUUAAGUGUUUAUAGCCUCUUGCCUAUGCAGUCGGAGAGAUUGAGGUCUGCAGCGUAGAUCCUUCGGGGCUAAAUGCAUUUGUGCUAAGUUAUAGCAUUUUAUAGACAGCUUGUUGACUAUGAUUUGUCUUGUAGCUUACUCGCUUAUGUUAUUUUACCUACGCUUAGGAUGUUGAGCGCAUGUCUCUCUCU